rnacentral:rRNA from 1 species
UACGUAGGGUCCGAGCGUUGUCCGGAAUUAUUGGGCGUAAAGAGCUCGUAGGCGGCUUGUCGCGUCGUCCGUGAAAACCUGCGGCUCAACUGCAGGCUGGCGGUCGAUACGGGCAGGCUGGAGUUCGGUAGGGGAGACUGGAAUUCCUGGUGUAGCGGUGAAAUGCGUAGAUAUCGAGAGGAACACCUGCGGCGAAGGCGGGUUGCUGGGCUGACACUGACGCUGAUGCGCGAAAGCUAGGGGAGCGAAGCGGG